GAUGUAGUUGAGGAGUAGAGUGUUUGCCUAGCAUUCACAAGGUCCUGAGUUUAGGACAAAGCGCCACCAAAACUCCUCCGAAAACUCAGCAUCUGUUGGUUUCAGAUUCGGUGAACAGAUGGGAUUCUUGCCAUCGGAGGGUUGGAAGCUCAGUGGGAGAGGCAGGCAUCGAACAGGCUUUGACACAGUUUGUUCCAUCUGCCUGGAUCGCACCCUGUUUCCUGCAUUCAUUCACACUUGCCUUCCAGGCCAGAAGAGGGCACCAGACCUCAUUACAGAUGGUUGUGAG